rnacentral:rRNA from 1 species
GAUGAACGCUGGCGGCGUGCCUAAUACAUGCAAGUCGAGCGAACAGACGAGGAGCUGCUCCUCUGACGGUAGCGGCGGACGGGUGAGUAACACGUGGAUAACCUACCUAUAAGGCUGGGAUAACUUUGGGAAACCGGAGCUAAUACCGGAUAAUAUAUUGAACCGCAUGGUUCAAUAGUGAAAGACGGUUUUGCUGUCACUUAUAGAUGGAUCCGCGCCGCAUUAGCUAGUUGGUAAGGUAACGGCUUACCAAGGCAACGAUGCGUAGCCGACCUGAGAGGGUGAUCGGCCACACUGGAACUGAGACACGGUCCAGACUCCUACGGGAGGCAGCAGUAGGGAAUCUUCCGCAAUGGGCGAAAGCCUGACGGAGCAACGCCGCGUGAGUGAUGAAGGUCUUCGGAUCGUAAAACUCUGUUAUUAGGGAAGAACAAAUGUGUAAGUAACUAUGCACGUCUUGACGGUACCUAAUCAGAAAGCCACGGCUAACUACGUG